AAAAAUGUAAGAAAUUAAUAAAUAAAUAAAUGAGAUAGAGCAAAAAUAAAUACACCUCUCUCUUUCUUUCUCUCUCUCAAUCAAUAUCAGGUUCUUCUUUCUCUCUGUAUUUUUUCUCUCUCUCAUCUCAUGGUGAUGGUAUCAUCUCCGCCACAAUUUUUGUCGGAGAGCCGCCGGUGAUCGGUGUCUUUCUCCAUCUCCUCUACAUUUUGAUUCCGUCGGUAACCACCUUUAUCUUGUUCAUAUUUCUCUCAUUUUUCUUGUUUUGGGAAAUUAGUUUAGCUCCGUUAUUCUUCGCUGUAGAUCCGUUUUCCAUCUUUCGGUUUAAAUUCCUAUGGAUCGGGUUGUUUAUGGAUCUGCUUAGAUCUUUUUGUAAAUUUUGAUAAUUCGUUAUUGUCGGGUUUUUAAUUAUUAAAACCGGCUGUUGCGUAAUUUUGUUUAUUGAUUUUUACCUAUUUUGAAACGGUCUUUUGGAUUUGGUAUUGUGUUAUCUUGUUUAAUUUUUUUCCUUCUCUGAUAUCUGUAUUUUCCAUUUCUGUCAUACCUGAAAAAUAUUCGCGCCGUUGCUAGUUUUCUUCCCCGAUUUUUUCUCUUGUACGGAAAAGGUAGAGUUUGACCUCGUUAGUUUUCAAAUCUAUGUUAAUUUUUCCUAGGUGGAUGUUUAGGAAUUUUGGUUUUCGUUUUUUUAGAAAUAUUUGUUGGAAUCCAGCUGUGAUUUUCAAUCGGAGCUAUUUCUGCUUUAGUAUUUGUUAUUGUGCUGUGACAUUGAUAUUGAGCUGAAGUCGUGUAUAUUUGAACUGUUUGAUUGGAGGUUUUGCCCCAAAUAUUAUUUACUUUGAUAUGAUUUAUAAUAAAGCGAACCUUUGUAGGAUAUGUGUUUAAUGUUCUUGUUUUUGAUACCAUGUUGCUCAGGUGAAUGACCUUUUGAGGUAAUAAAUAGUGAGCAAGCUU
rnacentral:lncRNA from 1 species